AUACGGAGGGUCCGAGCGUUAUCCGGAAUUAUUGGGUUUAAAGGGUCCGUAGGCGGGCCAUUAAGUCAGGGGUGAAAGUCUGCGGCUCAACCGUAGAAUUGCCUUUGAUACUGAUGGUCUUGAGUUAUAGUGAAGUUGGCGGAAUAUGUAGUGUAGCGGUGAAAUGCAUAGAUAUUACAUAGAACACCGAUUGCGAAGGCAGCUGACUAACUAUAUACUGACGCUGAGGGACGAAAGCGUGGGGAGCGAACAGGAUUAGAAACCCUGGUAGUCC
rnacentral:rRNA from 1 species